rnacentral:rRNA from 1 species
UACGGGGGGGGCAAGCGUUGUUCGGAAUUACUGGGCGUAAAGGGCUUGUAGGUGGCCAACUAAGUCAGACGUGAAAUCCCUCGGCUUAACCGGGGAACUGCGUCUGAUACUGGAUGGCUGGAGUGUGGGAGAGGGAUGCGGAAUUCCAGGUGUAGCGGUGAAAUGCGUAGAUAUCCCCAAGAACACCAGUUGCGAAGGCGGCUGACUGGACACAUAUUGACGCUGAGGCUCGAAAGCAUGGGGAGCAAACAGG